GACGAACGCUGGCGGCGUGCUUAACACAUGCAAGUCGAACGGAAAGGCCCUGCUUUUGUGGGGUGCUCGAGUGGCGAACGGGUGAGUAACACGUGAGUAACCUGCCCUUGACUUUGGGAUAACUUCAGGAAACUGGGGCUAAUACCGGAUAGGAGCUCCUGCUGCAUGGUGGGGGUUGGAAAGUUUGGGCGGUUGGGGUUGGACUCGCGGCUUAUCAGCUUGUUGGUGGGGUAGUGGCUUACCAAGGCGUUGACGGGUAGCCGGCCUGAGAGGGUGACCGGCCACAUUGGGACUGAGAUACGGCCCAGACUCAUACGGGAGGCAGCAGUGAGGAAUAGUGCACAAUGGGCGGAAGCCUGAUGCAGCAACGCCGCGUGCGGGAUGACGGCCUUCGGGUUGUAAACCGCUUGCGCCUGUGACGAAGCGUGAGUGACGGUAAUGGGUAAAGAAGCACCGGCUAACUACGUG
rnacentral:rRNA from 1 species